rnacentral:rRNA from 1 species
GUCCACGCCCUAAACGAUGAUAACUCGUUGUUGGCGAUACACAGUCAGCGACUAAGCGAAAGCAUUAAGUUAUCCACCUGGGGAGUACGACCGCAAGGUUGAAACUCAAAGGAAUUGACGGGGGCCCCGCACAAGCGGAGGAGCAUGUGGUUUAAUUCGAUGAUACGCGAGGAACCUUACCUGGGCUUGAAAGUUAGUGACAUUCUGUGAAAGCAGAACUUCCGCAAGGACACGAAACUAGGUGCUGCAUGGCUGUCGU